rnacentral:rRNA from 1 species
CGAGGAAUCUUGCGCAAUGGGCGAAAGCCUGACGCAGCAACGCCGCGUGGGUGAAGAAGGCCUUCGGGUUGUAAAUCCCUUUUGCCGGGGAAGAAGUUUCUGACGGUACCCGGCGAAUAAGCCACGGCUAACUACGUGCCAGCAGCCGCGGUAAGACGUAGGUGGCGAGCGUUAUCCGGAUUUACUGGGCGUAAAGCGUACGUAGGCGGCGCGAUCAGUCUGCCGUGAAAUCUCCCGGCUCAACCGGGAGGGGCCGGUGGAAACUGUCGUGCUCGAGGGGCGUAGAGGCAAGCGGAAUUCCCGGAGUAGUGGUGGAAUGCGUAGAUACCGGGAGGAACACCAGUGGCGAAAGCGGCUUGCCAGGCGCAUCCUGACGCUGAGGUACGAAAGCGUGGGGAGCGAACCGG